rnacentral:rRNA from 1 species
GACGAACGCUGGCGGCGUGCUUAAUACAUGCAAGUCGAACGGUGAUGCCCCAGCUUGCUGGAGUGGAUCAGUGGCGAACGGGUGAGUAACACGUGAGCAACCUGCCCCAGACUCUGGAAUAAGCGCUGGAAACGGCGUCUAAUACUGGAUACGAAACUGGCCCGCAUGGGCAUGGUUUGGAAAGUUUUUCGGUUUGGGAUGGGCUCGCGGCCUAUCAGCUUGUUGGUGAGGUAAUGGCUCACCAAGGCGACGACGGGUAGCCGGCCUGAGAGGGCGACCGGCCACACUGGGACUGAGACACGGCCCAGACUCCUACGGGAGGCAGCAGUGGGGAAUAUUGCACAAUGGGCGAAAGCCUGAUGCAGCGACGCCGCGUGAGGGAUGACGGCCUUCGGGUUGUAAACCUCUUUCAGCAGGGAAGAAGCGAAAGUGACGGUACCUGCAGAAGAAGCACCGGCUAACUACGUG